rnacentral:rRNA from 2 species
GACGUAGGGCGCGAGCGUUGUCCGGAUUUAUUGGGCGUAAAGAGCUCGUAGGCGGCUUGUUGCGUCAGCUGUGAAAGCCCAUGGCUUAACUGUGGGUUGGCAGCUGAUACGGGCAGGCUAGAGUUCGGUAGGGGAGACUGGAAUUCCUGGUGUAGCGGUGAAAUGCGCAGAUAUCAGGAGGAACACCGGUGGCGAAGGCGGGUCUCUGGGCCGAUACUGACGCUGAGGAGCGAAAGCGUGGGGAGCGAACAGG